rnacentral:rRNA from 1 species
AUUAAGAGCUUGCUCUUAUGAAGUUAGCGGCGGACGGGUGAGUAACACGUGGGUAACCUACCCAUAAGACUGGGAUAACUCCGGGAAACCGGGGCUAAUACCGGAUAAUAUUUUGAACUGCAUAGUUCGAAAUUGAAAGGCGGCUUCGGCUGUCACUUAUGGAUGGACCCGCGUCGCAUUAGCUAGUUGGUGAGGUAACGGCUCACCAAGGCAACGAUGCGUAGCCGACCUGAGAGGGUGAUCGGCCACACUGGGACUGAGACACGGCCCAGACUCCUACGGGAGGCAGCAGUAGGGAAUCUUCCGCAAUGGACGAAAGUCUGACGGAGCAACGCCGCGUGAGUGAUGAAGGCUUUCGGGUCGUAAAACUCUGUUGUUAGGGAAGAACAAGUGCUAGUUGAAUAAGCUGGCACCUUGACGGUACCUAACCAGAAAGCCACGGCUAACUACGUGCCAGCAGCCGCGGUAAUACGUAGGUGGCAAGCGUUAUCCGGAAUUAUUGGGCGUAAAGCGCGCGCAGGUGGUUUCUUAAGUCUGAUGUGAAAGCCCACGGCUCAACCGUGGAGGGUCAUUGGAAACUGGGAGACUUGAGUGCA